GAUGAACGCUGGCGGUCUGCUUAACACAUGCAAGUCGAACGGAAGUAGCAAUACUUUAGUGGCGGACGGGUGAGUAACACGUAAGAACCUGCCUCUUGGCCGGGGACAACAGUUGGAAACGGCUGCUAAUCCCGGAUGAGCCGAAAGGUAAAAGAUUAAUCGCCCAAGAGAGGGGCUUGCGUCUGAUUAGCUAGUUGGUAGUGUAAGAGACUACCAAGGCGACGAUCAGUAGCUGGUCUGAGAGGAUGAUCAGCCACACUGGGACUGAGACACGGCCCAGACUCCUACGGGAGGCAGCAGUGGGGAAUUUUCCGCAAUGGGCGAAAGCCUGACGGAGCAAGACCGCGUGGGGGAGGAAGGUUCUUGGAUUGUCAACCCCUUUUCUCAGGGAAGAAGAAAGUGACGGUACCUGAGGAAGAAGCAUCGGCUAACUCCGUGCCAGCAGCCGCGGUAAUACGGAGGAUGCAAGCGUUAUCCGGAAUGAUUGGGCGUAAAGAGUCCGUAGGUGGCCCUUCAAGUCUGCUGUUAAAGAGCGAGGCUUAACUUCGGAAAAGCAGUGGAAACUGGAGAGCUAGAGUGUAGUAGGGGCAGAGGGAAUUCCUGGUGUAGCGGUGAAAUGCGUAGAGAUCAGGAAGAACACCGGUGGCGAAAGCGCUCUGCUGGGCUACAACUGACACUGAGGGACGAAAGCUAGGGGAGCGAAUGGGAUUAGAUACCCCAGUAGUCCUAGCGGUAAACGAUGGAAACUAGGUGUGGCCUGUAUCGACCCGGGCCGUGCCGGAGCAAACGCGUUAAGUUUCCCGCCUGGGGAGUACGCACGCAAGUGUGAAACUCAAAGGAAUUGACGGGGGCCCGCACAAGCGGUGGAGUAUGUGGUUUAAUUCGAUGCAACGCGAAAAACCUUACCAGGACUUGACAUCUCUGGAAUCCGUCUGAAAGGGUGGAGUGCCUUAGGGAACCAGAAGACAGGUGCUGCAUGGCUGUCGUCAGCUCGUGUCGUGAGAUGUUGGGUUAAGUCCCGCAACGAGCGCAACCCUCGUCGUUAGUUGCCAUCAUUAAGUUGGGAACUCUAGCGAGACUGCCGGUGACAAACCGGAGGAAGGUGAGGAUGACGUCAAGUCAGCAUGGCCCUUACGUCCUGGGCGACACACGUACUACAAUGCUAAGGACAGAGAGCAGCCAACCCGCGAGGGAGAGCGAAUCUCAUAAACCUUGGCACAGUUCAGAUUGAAGCUUGCAACUCAGCUUCAUGAAGGAGGAAUCGCUAGUAAUCGCAGGUCAGCAUACUGCGGUGAAUCCGUUCCCGGGCCUUGUACACACCGCCCGUCACACCAUGGAAGUGAGCCACGCCCGAAGUCAUUACUCUAACCUGCAAGGGGGGAGGGUGCCGAAGGCAGGGCUGAUGACUGGGGUGAGUCGUAACAAGGUAGCCG
rnacentral:rRNA from 1 species